UCUCACGUAUCCCUUGGCAUACCUUCAAGUACCUCCAGGGGUACGUGUACCCCCAUCUGGGAACCACUGCCUUACAACAUCACAAAUAAGUUAAAAGCAAGAAAAAACACACAUAUUAAAACAGUAAUAAUAAAUACAUAUGGCAAUUGUUUAUUAAAGGCCUACUGAAAUGAGAUUUUCUUAUUUAAACGGGAAUAGCAGGUACAUUCUAUGUGUUAUACUUGAUCAUUUCGCGAUAUUGCUAUAUUUUUGCUGAAAGGAUUUAGUAAAGAAAAUCGACGAUAAAGUUUGCCACUUUUGGUACUUCCUGAAAAAGCCAUGCCUUUACCAAAGGUCGCAGACGAUGACGUCACAGAUUGUGGGACUCCUCACAUCCACCCAUUGUUUACAAUCAUGGACGCCAGCAGCGCGAGCGAUUCUGACCGAGAAAGCGACAAUUUCCCCAUUAAUUGGAGCGAGGAUGAAAGAUUUGUGGAUGAAGAAAGUGAGAGUGAAGGACUAGAGGCUAGUGGGAGCGAUUCACAUAGGGAAGAUGCUGUGAGAGGCGCCGUGGCAGCCGUGGGGGUUGCAGGAAUACUCGGCCACCUCCAACAAGGGAUAGAGACAUACCGUUUUGAACCCCACGCAGACGGUGACGGUCAGGAGGACGCUGAUGAUAUGGAUGCUGGAGCAGCACACGACAUAGAUCGCCUUCAGAAUACAGAAUGGUCGAGUCGCGGGGGCAGCAGCCUAAGCAGGGAAGCCCAGACUUCCCUCUCCCCAGCCACUUCGUCUAGCUCUUCCCGGGGGGUCCCGAGGCGUUACCAGGCCAGUCUGGAGACAUUAUUCCUAUGGGCCACAGCUCCAUAUACCGGCAAUAUUAAAAAUAUGCAUGUAAAAAAUAAGAUCCACAACAAGACAAUGAUAAUAUUAAUUUUAGCACAUGUAUGCAGAUUGCAGGUGUCAAUAAUAUGAAUUGAUUUUCAAAUAUUAUGAAUAUUUCUAUUUCCAGGUGUACAUGUCACAACUGUGUGAAAAUGGAGACAGUGGUUGAGUGUGCCUGCUGUCAUGAGAUACAGUCAGUGGCCAGUACCAUGGAGCAGGAAGGGGUGGAGACGUGCAUCAUAGACCACCCUGGAUUUAAUCUGUGUGUCUGGAUGAAUGGGUGCUGCAGAUAGCGUAUUACGCCUACCAACAGCAAUAUGGCGUGCCGCAGCAACAGCAAAAUGACAUAUCGACAGUUUGUCCGCUUCUGCUGGGGAUAUCUGGGAAAGGAGAUAAGGGUGGCACUACCAGCUUGUGUAGUACAUAAGAUUAGAACAACAUUUCCAUCGAUGGACUACACGGGGUUCCAAGACGUGCAUUGACUGCAAAAGAAUCCACAUGGCCACUGUAGUUAACGCUUAGCGAAGCGACUCCUGUGCUUGGCGAUGGCUUCCUCCUUGUCUGGCUGCUCCAGUUCAUCGCAGAGGAAGGCAGGCACAUCCACGGUGACGCUGACUGGUGUUCUCUCGUCACGGGUCUAUCAGCAGCCAGAAAAAACCUCCCUGAUCAAGUCGUCUACGUAGUCUGCAAAUUACUAUUAUUCAUUUUCCUGCUCACAAUAUAAUAAACUUAUCACGAUACAAAGUGUCGAGUGUUUACAUGUUUUGUGUCCUCUACGCUUACGGUAUGUUGGCUCUGUCGCGAUUUUCUUCACCACAUGGCCCACUGCUUUAUACUUCGGGUAGUGUACUGCAUGGCGCUCAGCACCCGCUUUUGUAGUGGCUGUAGGGCGGCUUGAGUUUUCAUUCCAGUGCAGCCCAGCAAGCAGGUUCCUA